GUUCUCGCGACAUUUUCAACAGUCACGUUUCGCACGUCGCCAGGGUGCGACGAAGCUUAAUAAUUCGUUUGGUGAAUUUAUGUGUUCAUAAUAGAAAAUAUCGAACACUUUAAGGAAUCCAUCCGUGCUCGUGCGUCUGCUGGCUAUCUACAUUCCAGAUUGUUUACAUUGGUCUGGCUGGGACAUUUAAACAUAAUCCAUCCAACCACCCCAACUCGCCAUGGAGGGCUGUCAGAUGUCCUGUUCAUUUUAUGCAUGCAAGAGGACCUACAAUAGUCCAGAGGCACUGAAUAGUCAUCUGCAGGACCAUCAAAAGAACACUGCCCAGUCGCUUCCUGGGAAAACUUUUCUGUGCUCUUCAAUAGGAUGUGAUGGUUCCUUCAGCAACAUGCAGCAGCUCAUGGAACAUAUGAGGCACCACCACAAGCCAAAUUAUUAUUUCCUGUGCGAAAGCUGCAAGGCCAAACUGCGUUCUUACCGUACCCUUCUCAAACACCUGCAAACCUGUGCUAAGGUUGCCAAGAACAAAGCUGCAAAGAUAGAGACUGGAAUGGCACCUGAUGCAGAUCCCACUGGUGUUCCACUCAUAACUGGUGACAUGGAGCAAUCUGGAUCAUUCUUAGACACACAUGGAUCAGAGGAGAUGGAGUCUAAGCCCUCUCUGUCCCCAUAUCCAACCCAGCAGUCUCCAGCAAACAAUGUUUUCAUGAACGCCACAUCCGUUGGCCCUGCAACUCUGCCCCUUGCCACUCUAGAACCUGCCUUAACCCCAAAUCUUCCCUAUCAGCCAGAAUCGCCCUACAGUCCUUAUCCACCCGCUCUGUCUCCUGUUAACCCAGCCUUCCUGCCAGAUCCAGGCCUACAGCAGCAGCAGCGGUCUCCCAGGUCUGGUCCUCCAAGUCUGCCCUCUUCACCGACACUGCCAUCAUCUCCAGGGUCAAAUGCAGUCUGGAGGAAGAACCAAGACCCGCCCGGGCCCCUUUUGCACAGAUGGAACUCUCCAAGCAGUCAGAGUUUAAGUAGAGAUGAAGUCCAGGUCAGUCUUUCAACUUCCGCAUCCUAUGGGAACACACCAGAGGCCGAUACAGUUGCCUACAGUGUGGCCACUGUACCCCAGACCGGGGGGAGAUGACGGCACACAUCAACCUGCACAAGAACUCAGGGUGCAAUGUGAAUAAUGAUACUGAUCCAGAGGUUGGCACCAGUUCCUUAAUGGCUAAGACUUCACUACACUCGGACAACUCAACGUAUACACAGCUUUAACAUGAAAUGAGAUGCUAAACUUACAGAUUGACAAAGUUUGUUGUAGCUUGCGAUUCAGAGAGAAACUUAAAUAUGUUCAUUUCACUGGCCUCCUAGCAUCUCUAUGGUCUGGAACUGUCCAGUAAUCACUGUUCAAACAGAAGUAGGGAAAAAAGUGCUGCAUAUACUAUGUGUUUGUGGGUCAACUAUUCUCAAACCCAGACAAUAUGUCUUGCUUGUCUUUCAACAAAUAAUGUGGAAUUGUAUAUAAUAUCAGUAUUUAUUCGGUCUUUGUUUUAAUCUUUUUGGAGCAGGUUGUAGACAUUUGUAAUCCCAGAUAGCACACGUACAUUUCAGAGAUGACUGUUUAAGAGCGUUUCAUCUGGAAAGCAUUAUGUUAUAAUCAACAUUUGCUAAACAUCUUAAAAAGAUCAGAUUUACAAACAUUCUAAAUCAUAAAUGUCUCAAAGAUAUCUGCUGAAUGUCUUAUUGACAUCCAAGAGGAAACGUCUUAUAGACAUUAUUGCAGAUGAGCAAACAACCUA